AAGAGGAAAAAAGAUCAUCUUAACCUGGAAGAAAAAUUAUGGAACAGAGGCACAUUAUGAAUCAAUGAACUUUCUUACUUCGGUUGGAGGAGAUGAGAAACAACUUACAGCAGCAAUCUUAAUACAGCUAAUGACCAAAGAAAUAUGUUUUUCAUACUCAAUGUAUGAAAGGAAACAAAAACGUCCUGCAAGGUCGUUAUAGAGUUGCGUUUAGUCAUUUAUCGUUGUAUUCGUUAAUUUCGAAAUCGCUACUGAAAGAAAGUAUUAAAGAAAAAAUUGGCAGCUUUCUGGCGACGGCCAUUAAUAGGUAUUACGGAAGAAAAAAAGAACCGUAACUAAGCAACGCCUAAUAUUGAGCAAUGAAAUAAGUAUCGCCAAAAUAAUCAAAGUCGAUGCCCACUAUCUGGUAGUGAGAGUUUAAUACAGUAGUUUAUAAAUAUAUAUAUUCGUAUUUUUUAUGCUUGUAUUUAAAUAGCAUUGGUUUUAUUUUGUUAUAUUUUGGUUUUGGAAAACUUUA